rnacentral:rRNA from 1 species
CAAUAGCGUAUAUUUAAGUUGCUGCAGUUAAAAAGCUCGUAGUUGGAUUUCGGGUGGGAAUGGCCGGUCCGCCGUUUCGGUGUGCACUUGCUACGCCCACCUUGCUGCCGGGGACGUGCUCUUGAGUUCACGCUCGGGACACGGAGUCGGCGAGGUUACUUUGAGUAAAUUAGAGUGUUCAAAGCAGGCCUACGCUCUGAAUACAUUAGCAUGGAAUAACACGAUAGGACUCUGGCCUAUCUUGUUGGUCUGUAGGACCGGAGUAAUGAUUAAGAGGGACAGACGGGGGCAUUCGUACUCCGACGUUAGAGGUGAAAUUCUUGGAUCGUCGGAUGACGCACUACUGCGAAAGCAUUUGCCAAGAAUGUUUUCAUUAA